AGUGAACGCUGGCGGUAGGCCUAACACAUGCAAGUCGAACGGCAGCACAGUAAGAGCUUGCUCUUACGGGUGGCGAGUGGCGGACGGGUGAGGAAUACAUCGGCAUCUACUUUUUCGUGGGGGAUAACGUAGGGAAACUUACACUAAUACCGCAUACGACCUACGGGUGAAAGCAGGGGAUCUUCGGACCUUUCGCGAUUGAAUGAGCCGAUGUCGGAUUAGCUAGUUGGCGGGGUAAAGGCCCACCAAGGCGACGAUCCGUAGCUGGUCUGAGAGGAUGAUCAGCCACACUGGAACUGAGACACGGUCCAGACUCCUACGGGAGGCAGCAGUAGGGAAUAUUGGACAAUGGGCGCAAGCCUGAUCCAGCCAUACCGCGUGGGUGAAGAAGGCCUUCGGGUUGUAAAGCCCUUUUGUUAGGAAAGAAAAGCAGCAGGUUAAUCCCCCGCUGUUCUGACGGUACCCAAAGAAUAAGCACCGGCUAACUUCGUG
rnacentral:rRNA from 1 species